rnacentral:rRNA from 1 species
UACGAAGGGGGCUAGCGUUGCUCGGAAUUACUGGGCGUAAAGCGUGUGUAGGCGGCUAUGUAAGUCGGAUGUGAAAGCCCUGGGCUCAACCCAGGAAGUGCACUCGAUACUGCGUAGCUUGAGUACCGGAGAGGUUGGUGGAAUUCUCGGUGUAGAGGUGAAAUUCGUAGAUAUCGAGAGGAACACCGGUGGCGAAGGCGGCCAACUGGACGAGUACUGACGCUGAGACACGAAAGCGUGGGGAGCAAACAGG